rnacentral:lncRNA from 1 species
GACAUGGUUUUGUGUAAUUCAGGCUGCCUUCCAUGUGCUGGGAAUAUCGGCAUACACCACGAUUCCUGGGUUGGUUGGGUUUACUGUUUUCUUUGCUAUUACUUUAUCUAUUUAGGAAUCCUAGUCUCUUUGCUUUAAAGAAUUGGCUAUCAGGCCAGCAAGCUCCAGGGAUCCAUCACUCUCUACCUUCUUAGCACAGGGAUUAAAAGACAAGCCACCAUACCUGACUUCUCAUGUGGGUCUUGGGCCCAAACCCAGGUCCCUGUGCUUUUGUGGUGAAUACAUUAGCAGCUGAGCCAUUCCCCCCAAACUUGGCAGUGUCGUGAUUCUUGUCUUUUUAGGGAGCUGUUGCAGUUUGUGAAAGCAAAUGAUGAUCUUGCUCAGGAAAUUGCUAAAAGGGGAAGCCAGUUCAUCAUAAACCAUUUGCAGAUGGAUGACAUCACUUGUUACUGGGAGAACCUCUUGACUGAAUAUUCCAAAUUCCUGUCCUAUAAUGUAACAAGAAGAAAAGAUUAUUAUCAGAUCAUUCCCAGACGUUUGAAAACUGAACUGUAGUGUCCAUCACAGGACCAGAAUCCUGACUAUGGAUCUGAGAUGCUCUGUGGUGAAAUACCAUGAUCAUGCUGCCUAUACCUUGAACACCUUUGGCCGAGCCAAACAUCCAGUUUUCCUUAUCAUGUUGAAGCCAGAGGAACUCUUGAGAAAGAUCUAGUACAUGUAUAAUGAGCAGAAAUUUAACAGCUCAGCUCUUUGAAUCAUGAAAUAAGGAUUUGGAACUGCGUUCUAUCUUUCAUUUUCUUUUGAUCACUCACAGCUUGUGCCUCAGGUCGGCUACAUCAUCACUGUGAACCUGACUGGGUCCAUGUAAGAUGCUCUUUGUCCUACUAUUUGGAGCAGACCAUCGUUUGG